GUGUGUUAGCAGGAGAGGAGUCGAGCAGAGAGAGCUGCUUUGUCAUGAAACGGGAGUUAAGUAGUGAACUUAGAAGAGAGAAACAAACUAAAGUAUCGAUCAUAUACCACUACCAACGUCUGGAUCGAUAUCUGCAUCGAUCUGCCCACCCUUGUCUCCUGGAUCGUAGCUGAGAUCAGCGUGAACCACGUGGGUCUCUGCUCCCUGAUCUGUUUCCUGUGUUUGGAAAGAGUUCCAGCUUCAUCACGGAGUUUCUCUCGGUUUGUGGGCUCAUCUAAAGCUGAUCAUCAGGAGGAGACGAGCCAUUUAGACUCAGCUCAGCCACUGCAGAGGAAACAAUGACUUCAACCCAAAAGGACCAACAUGGAGCGAGAAGUCAGCGCUCUCAGGAGGCCGACAAACCUCACAGAAGAAAGGGAGAGAAAAAAUACAGCUGUGAUGAGUGUGGGAAGGGUUUCACCAAGGCUGAACACUUAAAAACACACCAACUCAUCCACAGUGGAGUUAAACCAUACAACUGUGACUUGUGUGGAAAAUCUUUUACUUUGGCUGCUAACUUAAAAAGACACCAACUCAUCCACAGUGGAAUUAAAGCAUACACCUGUGACUUUUGUGGAAAAUCUUUUAACCGGGCUGGAAGCUUAAAAACACACCAGCUCGUCCACAGUGGAGUUAAAGCAUACAGCUGUGACUUGUGUGGAAAAACUUUUGGCCGCCCUGGAAACUUAAAAACACACCAGCUCAUCCACAGUGGAGUUAAAGCGUACAGCUGUGACUUUUGUGGAAAACCUUUUACCCACGCUGAAAGCUUAAAAAGACACCUACUCAUCCACAGUGGAGUUAAAGCGUACAGCUGUGACUUGUGUGGGAAAUCUUUUACUUUGGCUGUUAACUUAAAAACACACCUACUCAUCCACAGUGGAGUUAAAGCGCACACCUGUGACUUUUGUGGAAAAUCUUUUACUCACCUUGGAAACUUAAAAACACACCAGCUCACCCACAGUGGAGUUAAAGCAUACACCUGUGACUUGUGUGGAAAAUCUUUUACCCACGCUGGAAGCUUAAAAACACACCAGCUCGUCCACAGUGGAGUUAAAGCGUACACCUGUGACUUGUGUGGGAAAUCUUUUACCCACGCUGAAAGCUUAAAAAGACACCAGCUCGUCCACAGUGGAGUUAAAGCGUACACCUGUGACUUGUGUGGGAAAUCUUUUACCCACGUUGAAAGCUUAAAAAGACACCAAUUCAUCCACAGUGGAAUUAAACCGUACACCUGUGACUUAUGUGGAAAGUCUUUUACCCAGACUGGAAGCUUAAAAACACACCAACUCAUCCACAGUGGAGUUAAAGCGUACAGCUGUGACUUGUGUGGAAAGUCUUUUACCCAGACUGGAAGCUUAAAAAGACACCAACUGAGCCACAGUGGAGUUAAAUCGUACAGCUGUGAUCAGUGUGGUAAAGCUUUUACUCACAGUGGCCUCUUACAGCGUCAUCAAGUUAUCCACUCCGGAUUUAAGGCGUACAGCUGCCACAUUUGUGGAAAAACCUUCCACUGGCUAGGCAGCCUAAAUAUUCACCUCCGCAUUCACACUGGACAUGACGUUUACUGCUGUGAUCAGUGUGGGAAACUGUUUGUGAAAUAUAAAGACUUACAAGACCACAUGUUUACCCACACUGUGGGGAGACCUUAUAAAUGUGACCUGUGUGAUAAGACUUUUAAAGCUCCACGUUACCUGAAAAAACACCAACAGAUCCACACCAGAAAGAAACUGCAAGUGCAGUUACUGUGAGAAGCAGAGCGACACAGAUGGAUCCAGUUCUGAACCCUGUCGUCACUGUGGAGGUGGGAAAGAGUUUCGAUGUGACCUUUGUGGAAAAACUUUCACUCUGCAACAGACCCUAAAAAUCUGGACUUCUUUAAAUUGCUUGAAGAUGUUUCACCUCUCAUCCGAGAAUCUUCUUCGGGUCUAAGGUCAAGUGGUGGAGAGUUGGAGCAUGUUAAGAAUAUAAUGAUUAAAUAAAGUUCAUUUAGUGAUUUUUUUUUAAUAUAUACAGUGCAAUAGUGCUCAUUAAGACUUGGCCCUCCAUGUAAUAAUGGGUUAAAAGAGUGAAUUUGGCUCUGAUUGAACUGAAUUAUUGAGACUGACAUGCAGAACUGCAGAGGGAUUUCCAAACAUGCUUGCAUAUCAUAACCAGUUAAAGUCAGGAUGCAAUUUUCCUGGGCCAAAGGAGACUGAACAGAAUGUCCCAGACUUAUAUAAUAAGUACAAAAUUACAGGCUGAGAACUGUUAGAUAAUAGUGUAACCCAUGUGAAAUACAGGGCUGCAAAAUCCCUUUUUGUUAUCUAAGGCUAUAGCCUGUUAUUGUCACAAGGGGGCGCUGUAAUGCAGUUUUGUGUUCUGACAACUGUGUGUCUAGUGCGCGGGAAGCAUUACCUGUCUCUUCCUGUGAGAUCUUCCCUCUCUGAUGGCGGUCAAGUGCGUGUCAGAGCUCACCGAAAACUAUCUUGGUAUGCAAUGCUGCAACCCGGUUAAUGAGACCAGAUUGUUUUACGUAUAAAUGCUAAUAAGCUACUCUUUUAUUAGGCCCCGAACUCUGACCACAAAGGGAAUAACGUCUGUCGAGUUAUUUGUGUUGGAAUAUCCUGGUGAGUCACAUGCCUUUUGUUAGCUACCUGUUAAGUUGAAUAAUGUAUUUCACUAGCCGAUUCAGCUCAGAAACCUUUGGAAAAAAACAUCAAAUUUGGUGUGUUGUUUUACUUUUCUUGUUAUUCUUUACAGUUAUUAUAAGUGUUGAAUGCUUUGAGCUAAAGGUGUUUUACUGCCGAUGCUAGCUGCUAAUAGCUGUUAGCUACCCUACCCCCACGAAACCAUAUUCCGAUCGGGGAGGUAUUCAGAUAGAAGCACUAGCUCUGUUUAUAUUAGAAUGGUUAGGUCUUAAUAGAAAUGAGCAUAUUGCAAGUUUAAUAGUACUUGCACUGUGAAUUAAGUUACAUUUGCUUGUAAGCCUUACGGAUGAAUGUCACCUUGAUUGCGAUGACUGUUUACAUUACUGUUUAAGCUGCUGAUGUUCUUUAUUGUGAUAUAAUUGUGAUAAAAUAGUUGAUACUGGUACAAACAAGUUACUGUAACUCUUGUAACUUGGUAAAGCUAAAUGGAAUGCCAUUUGUUAUUAAUACAUUUGGAAAAUAAGUUAAUGAGCUCAUGUUAAGAACACAAGAUGGGAAAGAAAUUGAUUGUUCUGCACUAUUUGUGUAGAUUGGUUUUUUUGAACUACUAGAAAGGAUUCUGGAGAACCACUGGCGUCGAGAACAGCCCAAAUGAGAUCCUGGAUGAUCAUGAAAUGGUGUGGCCAGCCAUGCGAUCGGAUUGUGGGAUUUGCCUGAGAAACUGAUUCAAGCAUCCCUGUAUUUCAGACAAGCCCUAUCCCAGAUAAUAGGGUUUGCACACUGACAAUUCCCCUACAGUACACCUGUUUGGGUUUCAACGACAAUUCAGACUGGACAAUUCAAACUUCACAACGGGAACACUUCCAUCAGUUUUAUUCAUUCAAAAGAGUUCUGAUACAAUUCAGUAUAAGUCUUUCAUUUGAGUGUUUUUAUUUUAUUUUGUUCUGCUUUAUAUCUAUUCACCUUUGAAAUGCACUGUUAGUGUGCAGUUUGGUUUAUUGUGUUG